AUUGAACGCUGGCGGCAGGCCUAACACAUGCAAGUCGAGCGAGCGGCGGACGGGUGAGUAAUGUAUGGGGUCUGCCCGAUAGAGGGGGAUAACUACUGGAAACGGUGACUAAUCCCGCAUACUAUUGGAUAACCCAUAUGGGAUUAGCUAGUGGGGGGGGUAAAGGCUAACCUAGGCGACGAUCUCUAGCUGGUCUGAGAGGAUGAUCAGCCACACUGGGAAGGAGACACGGCCCAGAAUCCAACGGAGGCAGCAGUGGGGAAUAUUGCACAAGGGGCGCAAGCCUGAUGCAGCCAUGCCGCGUGUAUGAAGAAGGCCUUAGGGUUGUAAAGUACUUUCAGCGGGGAGGCGUUACCCGCAGAAGAAGCACCGGCUAACUCCGUGCCAGCAGCCGCGGUAAUUC
rnacentral:rRNA from 1 species